rnacentral:rRNA from 1 species
AUGAACGCUAGCUACAGGCUUAACACAUGCAAGUCGAGGGGCAGCAUGGUCUUAGCUUGCUAAGGCCGAUGGCGACCGGCGCACGGGUGAGUAACACGUAUCCAACCUGCCGUCUACUCUUGGACAGCCUUCUGAAAGGAAGAUUAAUACAAGAUGGCAUCAUGAGUCCACAUGUUCACAUGAUUAAAGGUAUUCCGGUAGACGAUGGGGAUGCGUUCCAUUAGAUAGUAGGCGGGGUAACGGCCCACCUAGUCUUCGAUGGAUAGGGGUUCUGAGAGGAAGGUCCCCCACAUUGGAACUGAGACACGGUCCAAACUCCUACGGGAGGCAGCAGUGAGGAAUAUUGGUCAAUGGGCGAGAGCCUGAACCAGCCAAGUAGCGUGAAGGAUGACUGCCCUAUGGGUUGUAAACUUCUUUUAUAAAGGAAUAAAGUCGGGUAUGGAUACCCGUUUGCAUGUACUUUAUGAAUAAGGAUCGGCUAACUCCGUGCCAGCAGCCGCGGUAAUACGGAGGAUCCGAGCGUUAUCCGGAUUUAUUGGGUUUAAAGGGAGCGUAGAUGGAUGUUUAAGUCAGUUGUGAAAGUUUGCGGCUCAACCGUAAAAUUGCAGUUGAUACUGGAUAUCUUGAGUGCAGUUGAGGCAGGCGGAAUUCGUGGUGUAGCGGUGAAAUGCUUAGAUAUCACGAAGAACUCCGAUUGCGAAGGCAGCCUGCUAAGCUGCAACUGACAUUGAGGCUCGAAAGUGUGGGUAGCAAACAGGAUUAGAUACCCUGGUAGUCCACACGGUAAACGAUGAAUACUCGCUGUUUGCGAUAUACGGCAAGCGGCCAAGCGAAAGCGUUAAGUAUUCCACCUGGGGAGUACGCCGGCAACGGUGAAACUCAAAGGAAUUGACGGGGGCCCGCACAAGCGGAGGAACAUGUGGUUUAAUUCGAUGAUACGCGAGGAACCUUACCCGGGCUUAAAUUGCAGAUGAAUUACGGUGAAAGCCGUAAGCCGCAAGGCAUCUGUGAAGGUGCUGCAUGGUUGUCGUCAGCUCGUGCCGUGAGGUGUCGGCUUAAGUGCCAUAACGAGCGCAACCCUUGUUGUCAGUUACUAACAGGUUCCGCUGAGGACUCUGACAAGACUGCCAUCGUAAGAUGUGAGGAAGGUGGGGAUGACGUCAAAUCAGCACGGCCCUUACGUCCGGGGCUACACACGUGUUACAAUGGGGGGUACAGAGGGCCGCUACCACGCGAGUGGAUGCCAAUCCCCAAAACCUCUCUCAGUUCGGACUGGAGUCUGCAACCCGACUCCACGAAGCUGGAUUCGCUAGUAAUCGCGCAUCAGCCACGGCGCGGUGAAUACGUUCCCGGGCCUUGUACACACCGCCCGUCAAGCCAUGGGAGCCGGGGGUACCUGAAGUGCGUAACCGCGAGGAGCGCCCUAGGGUAAAACUGGUGACUGGGGCU